rnacentral:rRNA from 1 species
GUCUAUGGCUAUGCUACCCUGAACAAGCCCAAGCCCUUCCGAUCUUGGAAACUAAGCAGGGUCGGGCCUGGUUAGUACUUGGAUGGGAGACCUCCUGGGAAGACCAGGUGCUGUAGGCA